ANAAGGUCUAACAGCUCGCCGGUCGUUAUACAGCCUUACUGCAGUCGACGAUGGAUAGAGCUUGCUCUUUGAAGUAGCGGCGGACGGGUGAGUACACGUGGGUAACCUGCCCAUACUGGGAUCUCCGGGAACCGGGGCUUCCGGAUAACAUUUUGCACUGCAUAGGUAGCGAAAUUGAAAGGCAGGCUUCGGCUGUCACUUAUGGAUGGACCCGCGAUCAGCAUUAGCUAGUUAGGUGAGGUAACGGCUCACCAAGGCAACGAUAGCGUAGCCGACCUGAGAGGGUGAUCGGCCACACUGGGACUGAGACACGGCCCAGACUCCUACGGGAGGCAGCAGUAGGGAAUCUUCCGCAAUGGACGAAAGUCUGACGGAGUCAACGCCGCGUGAGUGAUGAAGGCUUUCGGGUCGUAAAACUCUGUUGUUAGGGAAGAAACAAGUAGCUAGUUGAAUAAGCUGGCACCUUGACGGUACCUAACCAGAAAGCCACGGGCUAACUACGUGCCAGCAGCCGCGGUAAUACGUAGNGUGGCAAUGCGUAAUCCGGAAUUAUUGGGCGUAAANUCGC
rnacentral:rRNA from 1 species